ACUGCAUCAGGAUGAUGUUGACAGUAACUCUGAGUGUCAUGCUGGUUUUUCUGAGUCAGGAGUCUGCUGCCAACAGUUUUCUGACUCAGACUGACUCGGUCAAGUCUGUUAGUCUCGGAGGGACUGUGAACAUUGGAGCCACGGGGAGUUCAAAUAUUGGUAGUUCCCUCAGUUGGUACCACCAGAAACCUGGACAGGCUCCCAAGCUUCUUAUAUACUCGACAUCAACUCUAUAUUCAGGAACUCCCUCUCGAUUCAGUGGCAGUAGAUCUGGUUCUAGCUACACCUUAACCAUCAGAGGUGUUCAGGCUGAAGAUGUUGGAGACUAUUACUGUUUCGGGUCCUCCUACCCGUACACUUUCGGUGGAGGAACCACACUCGUCAAAGACUUGGGUGUGGUGCGGCCCACCCUGACCCUCCUCCCCCCCUCCAGUGAAGAGCUGGAGCAGGGCACUGCCACUCUGGUGUGUAUGGCCAGCGGGGGCUUCCCCUCAGCCUGGAGCCUGGGCUGGAAGGUGGGGUGCAACGGUUGGUCCUCAGGGGUGUCUCACAGCCCGGGGGUCCUGGGGGGAACCGGCCACUACAGCUGGAGCAGCACCAUGAGCCUCCCUGCAGAGCAGUGGAGGAAGGCGGGCUCAGUGAGCUGUGAGGCCAGUCUGAACGGACAGAGCCCUGUCGCUCAAACCCUGGACCCUGACCUCUGCUCGGAGUAG